rnacentral:rRNA from 1 species
ACGUGAGAAAUCUACCCUGAAGAUCGGAAUAACGCCACGAAAGUGGCGCUAAUACCGGAUAUGCCCACCGCCACCGCAUGGUGGUGUGGGGAAAGUGGGCCUCGACCGCAAGGUUGCUCAUGCUUCAGGAGGAUCUCGCGCCCCAUCAGCUAGUUGGCAGGGUAACGGCCUACCAAGGCUUUUGACGGGUAGCUGGCCUGAGAGGGUGGUCAGCCACAUUGGGAUUGAGAUACUGCCCAGACUCCUACGGGAGGCUGCAGUCGAGGAUCUUUGGCAAUGGGCGAAAGCCUGACCAUGCGACGCUGCGUGCGGGAUGAAAGCCUUCGGGUCGUAAACCGCUGUUACAGGGAACGAAGCCCAGCACAUUGAACAAAUGUGCUGGGUUGACGGUACCCUGAGAGAAAGCCACGGCUAACUCCGUGCCAGCAGCCGCGGUGAUACGGAGGUGGCAAGCGUUGCUCGGAUUCAUUGGGUGUAAAGGGCAAGUAGGCGGCUUCGUAAGUCGGGCGUGAAAUCCCGUGGCUCAACCAUGGGGCUGCGUCCGAAACUGCAGAGCUAGAGGAUGGGAGAGGCGAACGGAAUUCCCGGUGUAAGGGUGAAAUCUGUAGAGAUCGGGAGGAACACCAGUGGCGAAGGCGGUUCGCUGGACCAUUUCUGACGCUGAGAGGCGAAAGCUAGGGGAGCAAACAGGAUUAGAUACCCUGGUAGUCCUAGCUGUAAACGAUGGUCACUAGGUGAUGGCCCCGUUGGGGGUCAGUGCCGCAGGUAACCCGUUAAGUGACCCACCUGGGGACUACGGCCGCAAGGUUGAAACUCAAAGGAAUUGGCGGGGGCCAGCACAAGCGGUGGAACAUGUGGUUCAAUUCGAUGCUACGCGAAGAACCUUACCCAGGCUUGACAUGCUUGAAGUAGGAACCUGAAAGGGGGACCACUCGUAUCCAGUCGAGAACUUGCACAGGUGCUGCAUGGCUGUCGUCAGCUCGUGCCGUGAGGUGUUGGCUUAAGUGCCAAAACGAGCGCAACCCCUGUCUGUUGUUGCCAGCGAGCCCGCAAGGGUGUCGGGAACUCGACAGAGACUGCCAGCGACGAGCUGGAGGAAGGUGGGGAUGACGUCAAGUCCGUACGGCCCUUAUGCCUGGGGCGACACACGUGUUACAAUGGGAUCGACAAUGCGCUGCAACCUCGCGAGGGGAAGCCAAUCGCACAAACGAUUCCCCAGUUCAGAUCGCAGGCUGCAACUCGCCUGCGUGAAGCCGGAAUCGCUAGUAACGGCGGGUCAGCU